rnacentral:rRNA from 1 species
UUUAAGGUCUAACCUGCCCAAUGAGGAUUUAAAUGGCCGCAGUAUUUUGACUGUGCAAAGGUAGCAUAAUUAUUAGUUUUUUAAUUGAAAGCUUGUAUGAAGGGUUGGACGAAAUGAAAUCUGUCUUUAUUUAAAUUAAAGUAUAAUUUAACUUUUAAGUAAGAAGGCUUAAAUGUUUAUAAAAGACGAGAAGACCCUAUAGAUCUUUAUUUAAUUGAAAUUUUAAUAAUUUAGGAUUAUUUUAAUUUAAAGUUUUAAUUGAAUUUUAUUGGGGUAAUAUAAAGAUUAAAUAAAUUCUUUUUAUUUAUAACAUUGAUUUAUGAAUAUAUGAUCCAUUAAUAUUGAUUAUAAGAUUAAGUUACCUUAGGGAUAACAGCGUAAUUUUUUUGGAGAGCUCAUAUCGAUAAAAAAGUUUGCGACCUCGAUGUUGGAUUAAAAAUUAGCUUGGGUGCAGAAGCUCAAGAUUUUGGUCUGUUCGACCAUUAAAUUUUUACAUGAUCUGAGUUCAGACCGGCGUGAGCCAGGUCGGUUUCUAUCUUUAUUAAGAUAAAAUGUUUUAGUACGAAAGGACCAGACAUUUAAUAUAAUUAUAUUUAUUUCUUGAAGAAUAUU